rnacentral:rRNA from 1 species
GAUGAACGCUGACAGAAUGCUUAACACAUGCAAGUCAACUUGAACUUCGGUUUGGGUGGCGGACGGGUGAGUAACGCGUAAAGAACUUGCCUCACAGCUAGGGACAACAUUUGGAAACGAAUGCUAAUACCUGAUAUUAUGAUUAUAUGGCAUCGUAUAAUUAUGAAAGCUAUAUGCGCUGUGAGAGAGCUUUUCGUCCCAUUAGCUAGUUGGAGAGGUAACAGCUCACCAAGGCGAUGAUGGGUAGCCGGCCUGAGAGGGUGAUCGGCCACAAGGGGACUGAGACACGGCCCUUACUCUUACGGGAGGCAGCAGUGGGGAAUAUUGGACAAUGGACCGAGAGUCUGAUCCAGCAAUUCUGUGUGCACGAUGAAGUUUUUCGGAAUGUAAAGUGCUUUCAGUUGGGAAGAAAAAAAUGACGGUACCAACAGAAGAAGUGACGGCUAAAUACGUG